rnacentral:tRNA from 1 species
GCCUUCGUGGUGUAACGGUAGCACGGCGCGUAUUCAAGAAGUAUAGGUUCAAGUCCUGGCAAAGGCA